rnacentral:rRNA from 1 species
AUUGAACGCUGGCGGCAUGCCUUACACAUGCAAGUCGAACGGUAACAGGUCUUCGGAUGCUGACGAGUGGCGAACGGGUGAGUAAUAUAUCGGAACGUGCCCAGUAGUGGGGGAUAACUGCUCGAAAGAGCAGCUAAUACCGCAUACGACCUGAGGGUGAAAGGGGGGGAUCGCAAGACCUCCCGCUAUUGGAUCGGCCGAUAUCAGAUUAGCUAGUUGGUGGGGUAAAGGCCUACCAAGGCAACGAUCUGUAGUUGGUCUGAGAGGACGACCAGCCACACUGGGACUGAGACACGGCCCAGACUCCUACGGGAGGCAGCAGUGGGGAAUUUUGGACAAUGGGCGCAAGCCUGAUCCAGCAAUGCCGCGUGCAGGAAGAAGGCCUUCGGGUUGUAAACUGCUUUUGUCAGGGAAGAAAUCCUCUAGGUUAAUACCCUUGGGGGGAUGACGGUACCUGAAGAAUAAGCACCGGCUAACUACGUGCCAGCCGCCGCCGUAAUAC